rnacentral:rRNA from 1 species
GAUGAACGCUGGCGGCGUGCUUAACACAUGCAAGUCGAACGAUGAAGCCCAGCUUGCUGGGUGGAUUAGUGGAGAACGGGUGAGUAACACGUGAGUAACCUGCCCUUAACUCUGGGAUAAGCCUGGGAAACUGGGUCUAAUACCGGAUAGGAGCGUCCACCGCAUGGUGGGUGUUGGAAAGAUUUAUCGGUUUUGGAUGGACUCGCGGCCUAUCAGCUUGUUGGUGAGGUAAUGGCUCACCAAGGCGACGACGGGUAGCCGGCCUGGGAGGGUGACCGGCCACACGGGGACUGAGACACGGCCCAGACUCCUACGGGAGGCAGCAGUGGGGAAUAUUGCACAAUGGGCGCAAGCCUGAUGCAGCGACGCCGCGUGAGGGAUGACGGCCUUCGGGUUGUAAACCUCUGUCAGUAGGGAAGAAGCGAAAGUGACGGUACCUGCAGAAGAAGCACCGGCUAACUACGUG